AGAUAUUAAUUCUUUUUAAAAUGAUUCGUUUUACCAAAUAUUUCAGCAGUGUUUUCUCCAAACCUUACACAGCGGCGCUGUUCUUGUGCAAGAUGUCACAGCGAACAGCAGUUUCUUCCUGAUUCAAUAAAAUGGUAAUAAUCUUUUAGAAUUACUUAUUUAUGAGAAAAGUCGAAACCAAAUGUCUUGAAGAGCUUAGGUCCUUCUCCGCUAAAUUCCAGGUUCAAAUCAUGUUGGGGUCGAUAUUAUUUUCCGUUUAUGAAAUAAAUAAGGGUCAUUGAUACCCUGGGUCACUUUAAACCCCUGAAACCCUUCACUUACAGAGUGAAUCCCGGAAAUUAUUGAAACAUUGGCCAAAUCUUCGUUUUGCAUUACUCUCUCUUUUAUCUUUUACUUGUUUCAAACUGUGGCCAUGCUGGGGCACCGCCUUGAGAAAUUUGAAUCGAGUGGAUCGACCUCAAAUUUUUUUAAAAGCCUAGUGCUAAUCCUAUCGGCUUUUUUUGACGAACUGCUUAGAUACGGGGACGUAAAUACACCAACACCGGUUGUCAAGCGAUGGUGGUGGUGGUGAUGGGGGACAAACUCAGAUACAAAGACACACAUUCACGCAUACACACGAUAGGCUUCUUUCAGUUUCCAUCCGCUAAAUCCACUCACAAGGCUUUGGUUUGUCCGAGGCCUUGGUAGAAGACACUUCCUUAAGGUACCAUGCUGUAGACUGAACCCAGAACCAUGUGGUUGGGAAGCAAGCGUCUUACCACACAGCCACUUGUGUUACAUUUUUAGCAACAAUGCUGGUAAAUAUUCCAGAGUUUUGUCAAUAUUCUUUCUUGUUAGACUAGAAAAAGUCUGGCAAGUGAGAGCAAUGAACCAUGACAAACCCCCGUGUACCCAGGUAAUUAACUGAUAUUCAAGGUGGAGUAUGGCAUAAAGAGAACUAAGAAAACACCGGGUUACUAAUUUCACUUUAUAAGUGACCCUCUUCGUUUUUAAUUCACUUUCUGUAGCAGUCGACUUUGAUUUUCAUCUCCGAAGUUGGUAAAAUAAGUUCUAGUAUGAAGUGGGAUCGAUUGAACAACAAUAUUUCUUCUUCUUUAUCAAUUUGGUUUCGUGCCAAAUACAAGAAAUCAAUGUUGCAAAAACAGUUGAACAGUUAAUGCUUCUAAUCUUGAGGUCAUCAAACAACGGAAACAGACGACCAAAUAAUCAUUCUCCAUACUUAAUUCUCGCCUGGAAAUGUUUUCAAAGCUACCCUCCUUCCAUGUAGAGUAAAGAGAGUAGCCAUUAUAAUCCUGUACAACAUCAGAUCCGGCGAGAUAAAAUUAUUUAGAGUCAGUCGCCAGUUUUUGAAUGUCUAACAUGGCGGUUUGUAAUCGUUACUCGAACAACGCUGUGACUUCAUUUCCGGUCUGGAUGUUGUCAGAUUAAAAUAACUCUGGACAGACAUUGUCACUGUAUUGUUAACGGGGACGUAGUUAGAGUAAAUGGCGCCCAAGACAAGCAUCAAAAUUGCGCCCCUUAAAGUGGCGCCCAGGGAAUGUGCCCUGCUUGCCCCACCCUAGCUACGCACCUAUUAAUUUGCAGAAAGAGGGGGUGGGGUGGGGGUGAAAGUGAUGCUAUUUGAAAAUGAGAAAAGGAGAGAAAAAUCCUUAUUUUUCCAAUCCUGAUUCCAUUUCAGUCAAAUUCUCAGCUGAAUUCACUACAAUUAUCAGUUUCUUUGAUUCAUUAACUAAAAUGUUAUUAACUAAUUCUUAAUUAUACAUAUCAUCGACUUUAUCUCGUUAAUUGAUUGAAGUUCAAGAAAAAUAAAUCCAUUGCAAAAAAGUUAUUAUAAAUGUUUGAUUAAAAAAAAUAAUGAUUUGAAAUGAACCAUUUUUAACAGGGAACGGUUUAAAUCUAUUCCUCGGUCAUACAUUGGUGGACAUUGGGAAAUCUGGACACAAGGGAGCAGGAGGAGGAGGAGGAGGAGGAGGAAUAUAAACAGUUGGACCGACUGCUUUACUGGCAACUGAAUUUACCGAUUCCACUUAGAUGUGAAGGCGUGAACUUAUAACAACGCGUGACAAAACUAAAGAAUAGAAAAUAGUUUUAUCUGCCUCUCUGCCAUUCCGCUGUCUUAAUCGACAAAGAAAGCGAACUGGUGACGUAUUUAUAAAAAUGAAUUUCUAAAUGUUUAUUUCCAAGUUUGUUAAUCUCAUGCAACUGUGACAAAAUGUCAAUUGUUUGGCUUCCUCAGUCAUAGACGUGUAUCAAACGACGACUCAAGUAAAUGGAUAGCCAAAGUAUGGCAGCUUUGAAGUGUAACAAAAACAUAAGCGAACGAAUAUGUUGUCAAGUAAACGACAUUAAAGUAAAUGUUUGCAAGAAAUGUCAACUGAUUUCGUCUGAGUUUUUAGAAUCUCAGAAUAUCAGAGAGAAAGUGCUGUUGUAAAAGUCGAUUAUUCAAACUUGGAUGUUAUGGCUUCAACCAUUAUGGGGUUAUUACGUAAAAGCUAAUAUUUAUCCAAACUCACAGAGGUGGUCAUUAGCUGUAUUGUUUGUGAUAUUAAUUUAAUGGAAAACAAAUCUUUCUGUCAAUGAGGACGUUGAUCUAUCGCAAGUAUUUUCCCCCGUGGACACAAGUUUAACUUAGUAAUGCAAACAAGAAGAUCACUCGUCAAUUACAGCAAUGAAUUAUAUUACUGUAUAUUACCAACUUAGAAACUGGUAAACUGGACUAUAAAAUACAUUAGCGUCUUGGCCACAGACGCCGGUUUAUCGGACAAUGCCGGUUUAACGGACAGAGACCUUCGGCUUCUCGGCUGCUGGUUCGAUAUUUUAACCAAUCGGAGAUUCAUACUUUGAUAUGUGAAGUGUUGGCUUCGAUUCAAAACAAAGAAUUGUUAAGUAAACAAAAAUACUACCGUACAGUUUCAGAAAUCAAAGUGAUCGAGUCGCCUGACAUCUAAUUUACCGUUUUCUUCCAGACAUGUGAGCUGUACAAGUUCGUAUCUACCUAAAGUUAUUGCAUGAAUACAUUAAAAUACAUUCAAUUUAUGUGCUUCCAUAUUUCCAAGUUAUUCUAUGUUUCCAAAUGUCUAGUUUUAUGUGUGGUUCCAUACCUAUAAGUUAUUGCAUGGUUCCAAAACUAACAUGUGGUUUCAUAUGUGUAAUGCCAUAUUUACGUUCCGAUAUAUUUACUGCGGGCUUCCAUAUAUCAGUUUCAUUUAUUAUGCACUUCCAUACCUGUAAUGAUAUUUGUGGUUCGGUAUAUCACUGCUACAUUCUUCUAUACACAUUUCUGGUCCGAUAUAUAUAUAUAUAUAUCAUGGUGCUUCGAUACAUUAGUUUUAUUUAUCAGAACUUCCAAACAUCUAAUGUAAAAUCUGAUUCUAUUUACUGAAGUGCUAUGAAAUUCUAUACAUCUAAGUUAUUUAUGGUUCCAAAUGUCUACGGCGGGCUUCCAUACGUCGAAUUUGCUGUACACUUCCAGACAUUCACACCAUUAAUAUAUGCAUGUCUUUGAUAUUUAGACUUGCUCUAUUAUUCCAUAUUCAUUACACGAAAAACGCUAACCUUGAAGAAUAGCAUAUAUAUAUACACACAUAUAUAUAUAUAUAUAUAUAUAUAUAUAUAUAUAUAUAUAUGGAUGUAUAUAUAUAUAUAUUUAUAUAUAUACAUACAUAUAUAUGUGUGUGUACACGCAUACACACACUUAAACACACAUAUACAUACAUAUAUAUGUACAUAUGUGUAGAUAUCUCUUACUCUUUUACUUGUUUCUGUCAUUUGACAGUGGCCAUAACAUAUUCUUUAUAUAUAUAUUGAUUGAUUGAUUGAUUGAUUCUAGUUUCAACUUAUGAGCUGUGGCCAUGCUGGGGCACCGCCAUUUGGUGUUGCUACUUGGUUUCACUUCAUGGAGGCUUUCUAGCAACUGCUAUUUGGUGCAUGAGAGAGUUCGAUGCAGCUGCCCUCAUCUGCCCCUCCUGCCGUGAAGUUGGUUCAUCUGGGACACCUGACAGGAAGAGAUCCAGCUUCAUUUUAAAGACAUCUGUAUCCACCCCAUGCAGGUCUCUCAGGUUCUUCGGGAGGAUAUUGAAGAGCUGUGGGCCUCGGAAGCCCAGGCUAUCACAGAAUCUUGUCCUACAUCUUGAUGGCAGGUUUGGAGUCCUAGGCACCACGCAGUGGCGCCCAGUUCUGGCAUUUGCGUAACUCUCGAUGCCAAAGUUCAGGACACUUCCCUCCAGGAUCUUCCAGAUGUAUAUUAUGGCAUAUCUUUCCCGCCUACGCUCCAGGGAAUAUAAUUUUAAUCUCUUGAGUCUUUCCCAGUAGCUUACAUUCUGCAUAGAGGCUAUCUUCUUUGUGUAGCUUCGUUGGAUCGCCUCAAGUUCUGUGAUCAACUUGACACUGGAUGGUGACCAUAGCUGAGAGCAAUAGUCAAAGUGGCUUAGGACAAGUGUCUUCCAGAGGACCAUCAUGGUUUCUUGUUCUCUUGUUCUAAAGGUUCUAAGAAUCCAUCCAGCCAGCCGUCUACAUUUCAUUGUCAGUUUAGCAACAUGUACAUGAAAGGUCGCGUCAUCACUCAUGUGAAUACCCAGGUCACGCACUGAUUGUGCCUCUGGGAUUGCAAUCCCUCCGGGUCCAGUGUAUUCAUUGGGUAUUGCAUUCAGUUUUGCAUGCUGAUAGUAUAAAGCUUGAAACUUUCCAGCAUUGAACUGCAUGCUAUUCUUUUCAGCCCACUUGUAUAUUUCGUCCAGCUCACAUUGCAGGUGUUUAGUGUCCUCAGGGUUCUGUAUUGCCUGUGAGACUUUUGUAUCAUCUGCAUAACUUGUGAUCGUGGCUCUCUGCGUGGCUGAGGGAAUGUCUGAGAGGGCCAUUAUGAACAGUAGUGGUCCCAGAACAGUGCCCUGCGGAACACCGCUCACUAUUUGUGUGUUAAUGGAGGUGGCCCCAUUGGCUACUACCACCUGACUUCUAUCCUUCAGAAAGUCAUGAAGCCAUUCUCCCAGUUUUCCAACUAUGUUGAGAUCACGCAGUUUGUGACAUAUCAUUCCAUGAUCGACUUUAUCAAAGGCCUUUGCAAAGUCGAGAUAUAUCACUUCCACAUUUGAGUGGUUGAGCAGCCGUUUCAGCACCCAGUCAUAGUGUUGUAGGAGCUGAGUUAAACAGCUUCUCCCUGGUCGGAAACCAUGUUGGGUGUCGGGCAGCAAGUCAUUCUCUUCAAGGAAGGUGAUCAGCUUCCUUCUGACUAUUCGUUCCAUGACCUUGCUGAUGUGUGAGGUCAGAGAGAUAGGUCUAUAGUUCUUGGCUUCCGCUCUGCUACCUCCUUUAUGAAUGGGGCAUAUUUUACCUUCUUUCAGUUUUCCUGGAAGUUUGCCAGCUGCAAGGAAGCUCUGAAAGAGGAACUGCAGUGGUCUUGCUAGGACUCUCUUACAUGCUUUUAGGAGGAUUGCCGGGAAUCCAUCGGGGCCAGUAGCUGAGUCUGUUUUCAUUUCAUCUAUAGCCUUGGUUACAUCGUCUUCCUUUAUAUCGAUGUAAUCUAUCGUCGCCGCCUCUGAUUUUAUAUCUGCAGUGGUAAAAAAGUCAGUUGGAUUGGUGAUUUGGAGAUGCCCAAGGGGUGGAGUGAAAACACUCUUGAAUUGCUCAUUCAGUAUUUCACUUACCCUCAUUGGUUUUCCUGUAAGUGUGCCAUCCUUUUCAAGGAGUGGCCCUAUUCUACAGUGCACUGUAGCUGUUUCUUUGGCAUACCUGUAGAAAGCUCUGGGGUUAGAUUUUAUGUUUUCUAUAGCCCAGGCUUCUUUGUCUGCUCUUUCUUUUUCAUGGGAGAGUUGCAGACAUUUUUCGAUUUCCAACAGUUUUAUUUUUAGGCGGGACUUUUCACUGCUUUCAAUCUGUUUGUUUAGGCGAUUUGAAAAUUUCGUACGCCGUCUCAUUAAAAUUUUCCUCUCUCUGGGGAUUUUGUUCUUGUGUACAGUGGCCUUUCUCUCUGGGACACAUUUGUAGCAUAUGGCUUGCAUUACAGACAUGAAUUGUUGAAGUUUCACGUCGAUGUCUGGCGAGGAGAGACAUUCAGGCCAGUUUUGUUUGAGGAUCUCUUUCUCAAUUUGUUUCCAGUUUGCCUUAUGGUAGUUCAAGCUGGAAAGAUUUUGAGGUUUCUUGUAGGCUGCAUGUCCGUGCUCUCUUUUGGCCCGUACAUGGUCAGCUCUAUCAUGUUGUGAUCCGAGAGUAGUGUCGGUGUCACUUUCACAUUAUGGAUGAGAUCCAUGUCAUUUGUGAAGCAGAGAUCCAGUGUGUUACCUGCCCUGGUUGGUUGGAGUAUUACCUGCUCCAUGUACAGGGUGUUGAUGAGGUUCAGGAGGGACCUCGCCUGUCCUCGUUCACAUCUUGUCAUUCCUGGGAGAGAAAGGCCCUCGGGCCAUCUGACAUUGGGCAGAUUGAAGUCUCCCAUAAGAAGCACACCUAUGUGUUGUUCUAAUGUGGUUAGAAUUUCUUCUAUUUUUAUAAGGCAGUCUUCGAACUUGCCCACAUGGCUUGGGGCAUCUGGAGGGCGAUAUGUAGCACACACAACUACAUCAAGUUGCCUAAUAUGUACAAUUAGUGUGUCACACACCGAGUUUGAGUAUGACAAGAGGACCUGGGGUGUGAGGUCCUCACGGAUGUACAUAGCAACACCUCCAUGACUCCUUUCUUUCCUGUCGGUCCGUAGUACAGCAUACUGUGGUAUGUGUAACUCCGCAUCUGCUAUGUCCGGUUUCAGGUGCGUUUCUGUAAGUGCUAUGCAUAAGGCUUGAUUGCAUGCAACAAAGUCUCUCAGGAACGGGAUCUUUGUCCUGUUACUGAGUGUUUGCAGUCCUCUGAUGUUCAGUAGGAGUAUCGAGGUGAGGUGUACGUUGUUACCGGCGGUGUCCAUCCUGUGUCUGUUUGCUGUGGUGGUCUGGUAUAUAGUGGGUAGUCCAACCUGCGGGCUUGGGUUUGAUGAAGCCAGGUCAGCUGCUGUACAAUCUUUUGUGCCAUGCACAAAAAAGAUUGUUGCUCAGCAGCUGCUCUUUCGACAACAUCAUGUUGGCUGUUUGUGGCGCGCACAACAUCUGCGUACCUCCGCUUUGGGGCAGGUGGUGCGUAGUCCAUCCCUUUUCUUUGUGUUGAUGGUUUGUCCAUCUGCCUCGUGUCUCUGUGGCAGGGUCCCCGAUGUGCAAAGCGGCAGCCUGCACCUUCCUUUCCGUGCCAGCAGGAACCUCUCAGGUAGAACAUACACACCCGUGUGCGCUGUUUGGUUCCAUCCUUUGCGGUUCCACUUCUACUCCUGGUUGUUUCACUCUUUGGUCCUGCUUGAGCUUUUUCUUUUCCUUUAGCUCUUCCAGUCCUUCUUUUAGUUCUUCUUCCUCCCUCUACCUCUUCACCGGGUUCUCCGUCUCCAUGGCCCUUGCUGCCGGUUGGAGAACUUGCACCUGGGUUCACUUCCCGGGCAGGUUUCUCAUUCAAAACCUCCUCCUGGGCGUCCACCAGGUGGGGGUGACUUCUUUCAUCGUCUCCAUUCUUGCCAUCUUUGCCCCGCUCGUUCUCAAAGAUGGCAUCAAGUGCGCCAAUGUGCGACCGUACAAGCGCAUAUGAGCGCACGAAUUCCUGUCUCUUUCGCUCCAUCUGAGCCGCUGUCCUCUUGUAGCCUCUGCUCUUCAGCGCAGCCGCAAUCACCUCGCUAGGGCUAUAUAUAUAUAUAUAUAUAUAUAUAUAUAUAUAUAUAUAUAUAUAUAUAUAUAUAUAUAUAUAUAUAUAUAUAUAUAUAUACAUAUAUAUAUAUAUCUGUGUGUGUGUGUGUGUGCAUAUAACUCUCUUACCUUCGUCACGUUAAUCAGCUUAUUUAGCAAAAACUUCCUUUGACUUGUUUCACGCGAUAAAUAUGAAACGGUAUUCGCUUUAAUUAUUAUUUUUAUAUAUCUAAACAUCAAAAUGUUUUAAAUAACUGGUGUGUUAGCAGUGCUUUGUUUCAUUGUCGUAAAGCAUUGUAGACCAUAUUUACUGAUUUAUUUGUUUACUUUGAGAGAUGCCAUUGUGAAUAAUAAUAAACUCCUCUAUCCAACCAGAAUAACUGCCCCCACCACGCCUUUCUCUCAACACACACCUUACAAGCACAUGUUAACCUCCUAUCCUUCCAUACACAACCACUUUCUCUGUCUACCUACAAUAACAGAUAACUCUCAUUUAGAUUACUACAAAUACUAAAAGAAUAACAAUAAACCACAGUCUGACGACGGCGUGUUAACCGAGACUUCCAAGUUCCCGUUAAUAUUUUCCUCGUAUGUAUAUAUGUAUGUAUACAGAGUGUUCGGGAUAAAUUUGACGAUAUUGUAUGUCUUUGUUUUUUCAGGAACAGUUUGAUAAAAGUUAGCUGACAUGGAGGACUGAAAGCCAACUGAAUAUUGCAAAAAGAUUACCUGCCACAUGACGAUUGGCGCCGGGUGUCAACAUGCCACCGACAUCAUGACUUGCUCAAUGCUCUGGAAACAUUGUAGAAACUGUAAGAUGUGGCAGCAGGAAUCAGCUCUUUGCCAUACCUGUGGAAAGAGUCAGAAGUGGUUGUCGGAGAAUUUCUACAACUUCAACAGACCCAGUUUCUGACCCCCUAAUUCCCUAGAUUGCAAUCCCAUGGAUUACUGUGUGGGUCAUAUUUGAGAAAGAAACCAACCAGUAGCCGCGGAAAAAAUAGAUAAAUAGUUACCUGGGUAGCAAAAAAUCAC
rnacentral:lncRNA from 1 species